rnacentral:lncRNA from 1 species
UGAGGUUUGUGCAUCCCUAAUGACAAAGGGAUGGGGAGAGCUGGCUUCCUCCUCUCUCCCUCACCCCACUGCGUGGGAAGGAGGUGGCUGCCAGCACUGCAAAAUUUAGCAGCUCCUCCAGGCAAAGGAACUGUGCAGAGAGGGCCCCAGUUCCAGCUCCGCUUGCACACACCCAGCUGCUGUGGGAGGUGGGGGGCAGAGCGGGGGGGCCGGGAUUGGAGGGGCCGUGUUACCACGGGGCUGAGCCAUUUCCAGUGCUGAGUUCUGUGCUCUGCUCCCAGCAGCAAAAAGGAAUGCAGUGAUCUCUUAGGGUCUGGUACAAGCCAGGAUUCAUCUCCUGCUUUGAUAGACAGCCUCCAUUCACCCACUCCCUCCUGUGUUUCGGCCACACAUCCCUUACCCCCUCAUUUUGCUUCAUUGCCAUGCGAGCGGUUUGGGGAGAAGGAUCUUAUAAAUGCUGAGUUAACAGACAAAUGUAAAAAAAAAUAUUAAAUAAUAACAACCACCCUGAACCGUGACCUGCGAGAGCGGCAUAAAUAUGGAGAAAAAUAAUUGUGCAUUAAUGCUAAUUGAAACAGCGAGGGCCCCACU